UAGAGUUUCCCCCCAGAAGGCUGUAUGUUUCGGGGACCUCCGAGGGUUCGCCGCCGCAAACGCGGCCGGCCUUUCUGGGCCCGGCCCCGGAUCCGCAGGGCCGGGAGAGGCCGCCAGGGGGCGCUGCCCGAGCCCCGCGCCCGCAGCAGGUGCGGCUUUUGCGGAAAGUCCGCGAGUGGGAGACCCAGGUGCCGGACGCCGAGGAGCCGGGGGAGGAAGGGGGGAUCCGUGCAACUCCGGAGCUCGCCGCGCGCAGAACCCAGCUCCCUGCCCCACUUGCCCGGCGCGCGGGUCUCCCGGGACUUGAACCGAGCCGAGCCCCGGCCUGCAGCCGCUCGUACCCCGGCACUGCAACUUCCCGUACGAGGAGACGCCCACGUCGUCCGCCCCACUUCCCACCCCCGAGGGGGCUCAGGGGGCCGCCCGACCCAAGAGAGGAAGCUGGUGCCGCCGAGGGCCCGGGCCCCUACUCACCGCGGGGCCUCUCUCGCCUUGCCCAGGGUGCCCAUGGCCACGGCCGGCGCUCCGGUGGCCGCCUCACCUAGCGCGCCGGGACGGGCUCGGCGGGGCGCGGCGCAUCGCCGCCACUGCCGUCGCCGCCGCCCGCAGAGCCCCUCCGCCCCCGGCCGCCCACCCGCCGCGCUCCGAGCCGGCGAGCCCGCCCGAGGCGCACCCGCAGGCACAAAGUUUCUGUGCGCGCGCCCUCUCGCCCUCACGCGCGCGCGCACUCUCGCCCGCACCAACCACCUGACACGCGCUGAUGCUGUCGGCGGAGGAAAUGUGUGGCGCGCUCCGGCUCCUCUCCGAAACCCGCCCCCACCUCUCUUGAGCGCCCCGCGGCGCCGCCCGCAGCUCGCGGCCCCACGCUCCAGUCCGAAGGGGAGCCGACGACUGGGGAGGCUCCGGGGGACGCCGCGGAGGAGGUGCGGGCCCGAGGGACGGGCUUCGCCGAGCGGCUCUCGAGGGGGCCCCCCGCGCUUCAGUCCCGCCUCGCGGGGACCCCUGGCCCCUUCGCAGGGCCCCUCGUAUCUAUCGGAGCGCCGCCGGGGGCGGGGUAAGAACGAACUCAGGUGUGGCUCUGCCUCAGCCUGCGCCUUCCAGGCCUUCUUGGUAGCAAUUUGCAGGACUUCGGCUGGAGGCUGGCGCCCAGCACCCUGCGGGAGGCGGCGAGUGUGGAGCCAACAGACUCUGCCAGCAGAAACUUUUGCAGCAACUGGGAAGUAAAUGAAUCAGAGGUGAACCCACUGUGGUGGAGUGGGGCUGGGCCCAUCUGUUUCUGCCUCCCUGGCCCCUCGGCUGCCAGAGGCUCGGAGGAAACUUCAGGUCUCUGAAACACACAGGCUGCAAAUCACAGGGCAAGGCACUGAGUGGGCCAUUUCAUCCACGACCUCAUCUAUUAAUAAGAAUUUGAUAGGGUGUUGUAGCAAACACUGUCGGUUAUCUACACGCCAGCCGGCUCCUGCUUCCUCCUUGCCUGCAGAGUCCUACCACCUGUGCUUGGGAAGGGUGAUUCAGCCCUCCGUCCAGGACAAGAUUCACGCUGUAAGUGCCUAAGAAGAGGCUUGUUUCCUUUUCUGCAGCAGUUGUGCAGAGUUGAUCUAAGCAUUCGUCUCCACCCUAAGAAAGUCCUCUUCCCUGGAAUCUGGAAGGAGAGCUUGGGGUGAGAACUAAAGGAGCUCGGAACUCAGAACUCGGAACUCGGGGGCAUGGACUGGAGUAGCUGACCAGAGCGGCUAGAUGUCCUUUGUCUGAAAUCGUGACAGGAAAUACUUCACAGCCCUUCUGACCCCUCUGGCAACAUCAUUAUGUGGCUGACAGCCAGUUCCAACGAGCAUUACGUGCUCCUCAAAACCUGCACAGGGCAACAGGCUUCCUUGGCCUUUCACCUCCUGCUGCCCCUGGAGCUCUCCACCCGACUGCGCCUGCUCAGACCUCAUGCCAAUGGCGGAUACCCUAGAUGAUUGCUCUCUUGCCUUUCUCCACCGCCCAGAAUGUUCUCUGGGAGUCCUGUGAAGAGGAGAAUGCUUGCUCGGUCACCACUUCUCACCUAGAUAGAGUGAUAUAAAUGGCACAGAGGAUCUUACAAGCAGCUAAGAAGGGGAAUCAUUUGAGUCGGUGUGCUUUUUUCUGCCCUCGGUGGUUAAAAUCCUCAAGAAAGAACACUUCACUCUGCAUGCCUAGAGAGCUAAUUUUGUUCUUGCUCUGAGCAAGAGAGAGGUAAAAGAAACAGCGCACUGGCCUUCCCAGGAAGGUGACUCCAAAGUGCUCAGUGUCGGCCAUACAGUUCUGACCAAAUGAUGGAGCGGGGUGAUCUCUGCCCAGGGCCCACGUUCCCAGAGAGGAGCUGUGAGGAAGAGCACAAUCUCACUGGGAAAGCUCUGCUUCUCGGGUGCUGGGAGAUAGCGGAGGUGGGGCAGGUGGAAGAGGAGGCUGUGGACCCCCAGCCAUCUGCCAGCGCUCAGGAAGGCACUAACCCGUUGCCACUCUUGAGAAACCCUGUUUGUGGAGAGAGGCCUGAGGCCACUGAGGAAGUGAUGCCCACGCCUGCAGGCUGGAGGAGGGGCUAACUUCUGGGGCAUGUUGUCCUAAGCCUCGAGACUGUUUCCUGAGAGAGCUGUCCUGAUGAUGAAGAAGAAACCUUAGGCACGAGAACCUGAGUAGGAGGAAAGUCUCUGGGAGGCCGUUUGGGAUCCCAUAUGAAGGAAAACUCAAUGUGGCAGAAAGCAGCCUGUUGCGUAAACCUACCCCAGGCCCAGGGCAAAGCCAAGGAUGAGAAGAUAUCUUAAACACUGCUGCCUGGGGGAAUGGCCACAGACAAGGAGGCUCAUGUGUUUCCCCAAGUAGGAAGGGAAAUAUGUGCCAUAAUGUGGCAAUUUGGUUCAACGGCUUAAUCUGGAUAUAAAGGCGGGGGGUGGGGGGUGGGGAGGAGAAUCAAAACUAAUUCUCUCAAGGGAGGUUGCUUUAGUAGUUAACUGGGGAGCCGCAGGGCUGUAUACUGGUUUGAUGUGAUUUCAAAUCCACUUGUUAGGCCUUUGGCAGGGACCACGCUGAUCUUCUCUGCAUCGCUCCAGUCUUUAUGUGCUGCCAAAGUGAGCACCAUUUCAUCUGUCGUAGCUGACAAGAACUCAGCAGUAGCUCAGCUGCUGAGGGUCCCACUGGGAGCUUCUCAGUAAAAACAGAUGAAAAAGCAAGGGGACAUUUAGACUAUAAAUAUCAAGAGUUUGUAAGGACCAUCUGAGAAUGUUCUGUCUGGGCAAGGCUACGUUUCAGGGAUCUAAACUGUCUGAAGACCUUGGGGCAAUUGACUCCUGCAGCAGUAAAGGUGACUCUUACCGACAGAGGCAAAAGCCAUGACGUGGCCCCACAAAGAUCAUCUUGCCCAUGGACACUGGUUCCAUCGUUCUGCAGCGACAUGCUCUAGCAACAGGCGACUUUUCCUUUUGCGUUGGCAGCUGGACAUCAGCUCUGGGUUGAGGCACACCUCAACUAGGUUUGGACUAUUCCUUUCAUCGCUCCUUGCCUGAAACAAUAGUGUGAUUAAUCUAUCACUGGUUUGGAGGUUUAUUUCUUUCUUGGCUUAUUAAAAGACAUUAUCCUGUAUACUGUUAGCUUACAAAAUAUCCACAGUGAACCUCUGUUGAAUCAAUGACUGGAAAUUCAAAUCCGGUCUCUGAGCAUAAUUUGCCUCCCUCAAACAAAACACGCAGUCCCUGACAAGAAGGUCCUGGAAAGCAGUUUGAUAAUGAAAGGGCUCACUCUGUUUGUGCAGUGGAUUUCAGUUGGUUGGUUAAUUGAUUCUCGAUAAAGGUUUCUGAAAGGCAUGUAAGUUACAGUCCCUUUUUCCUUAAUGCUGCCAGCCAUUGUUCCUAGCAACCACGGGGUGACCUUUCUACUUUACACACACAAUGCUGGUCUCCAAGAAGCCAAAGCUUUCUUCCUCCAAAUUAGAGAAAGUCCUCUUUGUGGGGAAAGCCACAAGAUGAGGAAGAGAAGGAUAAAUAUCUUACUCCUCACCCCACUGACAUAGCUGCAGAUACACGAAAAAUUAUGUAGGUAGAGAAGACAAAUGAAGAAACUCCUGGAGUUUCUGUAGACCACUGGGAGGUUGGAGAUGGAAGCUCUAUUUUUAUAUUAAUCUGCCCUCCCAAAGCCUACUUCAAUUUUUGAAAGCUUCACCCUCCUUAUAUACUUCCUAAUAACAUGUGACAUGUCCAGAAAUGUAGCUUACAAUGAGUAUUGCUUCUAGAAAUUAGUUAGGACUUAAGAAACUAGGGAUUAGGCAAAAUGGAAUGAGGCAUAAUUUUUUAAUUUACUUAUGUCCCUGAAUAAUUGUUUUUAACAUAAUCUAAAGUAUUUUCCAGAGAAUAUUCCUCCAUGAGAUAUUAAUAACACACACAAAAAGAAUUUUAUGGUCAAAUAAGUUUGAGCAAUACAGGAUUAAUAUGUUGUACAUGUUUCUAUGUGGUGGGAUUGCUUGCUCAGGGUCUCAGAUGUUAUAUAUACAUCAGGGUAGAUUAUCUGGUGAGUAGUAAUUCCCAAGCUUAUUCUCGAAGUGUCAUGGCACAUUAGGGAUUUAAGGCACACUUUAAGAGACACUGAUUAUUUCUCAGCCAGGUAGUUGAUUUCACCAUCUGGAAGUUUCCUCCCCCCCGUUUUCACCAGGGCACACCACUGAGCCAUCCUGGGGCAGGGAAUCAACAUGUGAGUCAGGGGGCUGGAGUUCUGACCUGUAUUUUUCUUACUAGCAGUGACAAGAAGUAGCAAGCUGCUGGGCCUCAAUUCUAUCAUCUGUAAAAUUGAAUAACAGCGGCCUUUGCUUGCAAGACAACAGUUGCGAAUAUCAAAGGAGGGCUCUGCAAUGACAUGCAUGUACCUUGGUAAUCAUUAUGAUAUAUGGGCUGGGAAAUCCUUUAUCUUGUUUGUUUGGAUGAGACUUCAUGGCAGCACUUCUCCUCUUUGUUCCUUAUUUACUCUUUACCAAGUCAACGAGAGUCUGAAUGCCUAUUUCGUAUAAAGCACAGCUUGAGUUGAUUCUAGAAGAACUAUGCUAAGAUACAUAGCAAUCAUCUGGAAAUACUUAAAUUCCCAAGAUUGCUGUGGUGGCAUUGUUGGGGAUAUCGUGCAAAUGCAUAAGUCACUUUGGUUGUCUGGACAAGUUCAGUCCCAUCAUCCUUUCCCCUGUUAUUCAUGGUCAGUAAUGAAUCGUUUCCUUGUUAAAUGGACCAGUGGAGCAAAACGUGACUUCAGGGCAGAGUUUGCUACAGGGCAUUUCUGCCUAUCAGUUCUGUGAACUCUGCUUUCUUCCUUUAAGACCUCGCUUUGUGGGGCGCCUGGGUGGCUCAGUUGGUCGAGCAUCUGACUCCUGAUCUCAGCUCAGGACCGGAUCUUAAGGUCACAAUUUUGGGCCCUGCAUUGGCCCCCCCAAUAAAGGACCUGGUUUUAUAACUACCUUCCCAAACAAAAAAGCUAGCUUUGAUUUGGGUCAUUUUAGAGUAAUAGCCCCAGACAUUUUCAGACUGGGAAUCACCUACCUUUGUUGUGUAAGAAAAGAAACAAUGGGCCCAAAAUGGGGUUAUUUGCCCCUCUACAGCAAGCCAAGGCUUCUCCCCAAAAUGUGAACUUUAAACAGUCAAUCUGUAAUAUCCUGAUUUGCACUAGUGUGGUAAUCUGUGUGAGAAGACCCUGCCAUUCCCUUCCCCCCAAAAGAUGAACUGGCCUGAAGCCAUCUUUUCUUCUCUUUUGCUUUCCUCGCCCCACCCUCCUUCUGCCUAUAAAAACCUUCCAUUUUGUACAAUUCCUCAGAGGGCCUUUCUAAUUACUAGAAGGGAUGGAUGCUGCUGGAUUCAAUCAUUUAAUAAAGACAAUUAGAGCUUCAAAUUUACUCAGUUGAAUUGUUGGGUUUUUUUAACCGUUGUUUGAGGGUGUUAUCAAACGUGCACUAGAAAAGGAUUUGUUUCCGGGGACAUUUAAGUUUGGCGAUUGUUGAGACACAUGUUCUUGAAAGGGGUGGGUCAGGCAAACUAACUAAGUUGCAAGUCAAAGGCAUAGCAUACUGGAAGACCAGCACAAAAGUACUUGUAGUAGGGCUGGAAUAAUAAUGUCAUUCCUAGCAACUACUGUAUGCUAUGUGCUGUUCUUUCCAGUUGGCAUGGAUUACCUCCUUCAGUCUCAUAAUAACACCAUGCGGGGGUACCAUUAUUAGCCUGAUUCUACAUGUGAGGAAAGGAUCAGGUUUACAGAGUCCACUCCAGGGUUCUGGUUUCAAGGAUAGUGAGUGAUGUCCUGGUAUGAAGGACACAUCAGGAAAAUUACCCGGACUACCUGUAGCUCGGUGUGAGCCAACAGGUAUCCAUCCAAGGGCCAAUCAGCCAUAGCUGAGAAGGAUACCCAUCUCAAUGCCCACCAAUUCAUUGGCUAGUCAUACUUUUUCAAGUGAAUUAGGAGUCCUAAAGAUAAGAGUCUCUCUAAAAGCUCUGGGGAUGAGGCAGCCAUUUUGGGUCACAGGUAAGUAGAUGAGGAAGUGGAGGGAACUCUUGAACUGAGAAAUGCAGAUGAAAGAAAGAGCCAUAGGAUACUAAGAAAUGGAAAAAACAAAC